rnacentral:rRNA from 1 species
UACGUAGGGUGCAAGCGUUAAUCGGAAUUACUGGGCGUAAAGCGUGCGCAGGCGGUUGUGCAAGACCGAUGUGAAAUCCCCCGGGCUUAACCUGGGAAUGGCAUUGGUGACUGCACGGCUAGAGUGUGGCAGAGGGGGGGUGGAAUUCCACGUGUAGCAGUGAAAUGCGUAGAGAUGUGGAGGAACACCGAUGGCGAAGGCAGCCCCCUGGGCUAACACUGACGCUCAUGCGACGAA